CAGUGGCUCUGUCACAGCUUCUCACAUGACUUUGGGUGAAUGCAACAUCAUUGCUCUUUGUAGUGGGAUAAUUAGCAUCCCUCAUUACUCCAGAAUGAGAUUUUUGUCUCUUUUGACUGUAAGCUGUUUGGGUCUGUUAUUAUCUGCAAAAGGGACCAUCACUGGACUUUUAUAUGCUGCCAAGUGCAAUUAACAGGGAUGGGUGUCCCCACGUGCAAGUUGCUGGAUAAACUCACAUGAAGGACCAUCUUGUUGGGUCUUCUAGUCUACUGCUGUGAGCUGUAUGAAGGAAUAAAGAAUGAUGGUUCAAUUAGGUAUGUCUUGCUUUGAUGCAUGGUAGGCAUGAAAUGGUAAAACAAGGCUAAAAGUUGUGAAUGACUUGGUGGGAGAGAUUUUGCUGGUAAGUUUGGGUGAGAAGAACCAAUGUAGAGGGAGUUUAUGUCAGAACCAUUGAAGACAAAGAGAAAAGAGAUAGUUUUUAGGAUUCCUACUUCCUAGUACUUCUAGUACUUUCUAAUCCUACCACCAACCUUCUAUUUGCAGGUUAAAAGAAGUUCAGAACAUUAUCAGAUUUUCAUUCCAAAGCCCAAGUGGUGUUUAGGGAUUAUGCAACAGGAGAUACAUGCCACAGAAAGACAAGAGUCUGCAUAUUCAGUCCUGUAGAGGAUUAACAUGUCCAUGACACCCUGCGCAGUGGCUUCCUUGAUGAUGCUCUUGAACAUGUUUGUGAUGGUGGAAUUCAGGAUCUGUAGGGCAACAAGGGGGGUCCGCAGCAAGCUUGCUACCCUGGACUUCAGGAGAGCAGAUUUCCACCUCUUCAGGGAUCUGCUUGGUAGGAUAUCAUGCCACAAAAUCCUGGACAGAAGAGGAGCCCAAGAAAGCUGGUCAAUAUUCAAAGCCCUGGAACAACGCUUCCCAAGAAGGAGGAAGGCAGGCAAGAACGCCAGGAGACCUGCAUGGAUGAACAAAGAGCUCCUGGACACUCUUAGACAAAAAAAGGAAAGUCUUCAGAGGGUGGAAGCAGGGAACAGGUAGUCUGGGAGAAAUACAGAGAAAGUUGUCUGAGAAGCCAGGGAUCAGGUUAAGAAAGCUAAAGCCCAGAUAGAUUUAAACCUGGUCAAGGACAUCAAGGGUAAUAAAAAGAGUUUCUACAGGUACAUCGGUGAUAAGAAGCAGAACAGAGAAAAUGUGGGUCCUCUGCAGAAGGAAACAGGAGACCUUGUCACACAGGAUAACUGAACAACAUUUUUGCCUUAGUCAUCACCAGUAACGGCUCUGACCACACUGUUCAGGUCACAGAAGACAGAGACAGAGACUGGGAAAAGGAAGAUCCACCCACUGUAGGAAAAGAGCAGAUCUGAGACCAUCUAAAGAACCAGAAACUGCACAAAUCCAAGGAACCUGACAAGAUCCAUCUGUCAGCUCCUACGGGAACUGGCAGAUAAAGUUACAACAGCACUUUCCACUGUAUUUGAAAAGUCACGGCAGUCUGGUGAAGUUCCCACUGACUGGAAAAGGGGAAACAUAACCCCCAUUUUCAAAAACGGAAGAAAAGAAGACCCAGGGGAACUGCAGGCCAGUCAGUCUCACCUCUGUGCCCAGCAAGAUCAUGGAGCAGAUCCUACUGAAGGCUUUGCUAAGGCACAUGGAAAAUGUGGAGGUGGUUGGUGACAGACAAUUUGGCUUCAUCAAGAGCAAAUCAUGCCUGACCAAUUUGGUGGCCUUUUAUGAUAGGGUCACAGCAUCCGUGGACAAGGGAAGAGCAACUGACGUCAUCUACCUGGACUUGUGCAAAGCAUUCAAAACUGUCCUGUAUGACAUCCUGGUCUCAAAACAUGGAAGGAUAUGGAAUUGAUGGAUGGACUGCUUGAUGGAUAAGGAAUUGGCUGAAUGUUCACUCUUAGAGAGUAGUGCUCAGUGGCUUUAUGUCCAGAUGGAGACCAGUGAUGAGUGGUGUUCCUCAGGGGUCAGCAACAUGGACAGUGGAAUUUAGUGCACCCUCAGCAAGUUUGCUGAUGAUACCAAGCUGUGUGGUGUGGUUGAUAUACUGGAAGGAAGGGAUGCCAUCCAGAGGGAGCUUGACAGGCUGGAGAGGUGGGCCUAUGCCAACCUCAUCAAGAUCAAAAAGGCCAAGUGUAAGGUCCUGCACCUGGAUUGGGGCAACCCCAAGCACAAAUAAAAGCUGGGGGGAAAAUGGAUUGAGAACAGCCUUGAAGAGAAGGACCUGGGGGUGUUGGUUGAUGAAAAGGUCAACAUGAGCCAGCAAUGUGCACUUGCAGCCCAGGAAGCCAGCUGUGUCCUGGGCUGCGCCAAAAGAAGUGUGGCCAGCAGGGCGAGGGAAGUGAUUCUGCCCCUCUGCUCCACACUUGUGAGACCCCACCUGGAAUACUGUGUCCCAUUCUCAGCACAGGAAAGACAUGAAGCUGUUGGAGAGGGUCCAGAGAAGGGCCAUGAAGAUGAUCAAAGGGCUGAACACCUCUCCUAUGAAGACAGGCUGAGAGAGCUGGGGCUGUUCAGCCUGGAGAAGAGAAGACUCUGAGGAGAUCAUAUAGCAUCCUUCCAGUACCUGAAGGGGCUAGAGGAAAGCUGGGGAGGGGUUUUUUACAAGGCCAUUGAGGGAUAGGACAAGGGUAAUGGUUUUAAACUAGAAGAGGGUAGAUUUAGGUUAGACAUUAGGAAGAAAUUCUUCAUUGUGAGGGUGGUGAGACACUGGAACAAGUUGCCCAGGGAAGUUGUGGAUGCCCCCUCUCUGAAGAUGUUCAAGGUCAGGUUGGAUGGGGUUUUGAGCAACCUAGUCCAGUGGGAGGUGUCCCUGCCCAUGCAGGUGGGUUGGAACUGGAUGAUCUUCUAGGUCCCUCCCUACCCAAACCAUUCUAUGAUUCUGUGAUGUGAUUCUGUGUUUACCAAAAAGGUAGCUCCAGUAUGGCAGUUAUUUGCUAGGAGAUUGGUGAAAUGCUACAAGGAACCACAAUAAACUAGCUUAGGAAGAGUGUAUUUGAGGAAGACUGUAAGUAAGUUUUCUUGAUUCUUAAGUUUCUGUUUCCAGCCUAAUUUCUUGCUGUCCAGGUGUGCCACUGCUGGUUGAACUGCAUAGCUGAGUGCUUUGUGUAUCUGAAAACAGCAACUCGAUCACCUGCUGCCUUGUGCUCAGCUGCAGGAGAGCAAAUCACGAAGGAAGUGGGUCCAUGCCUCUCUCUUGAGCAACAGUGCUGCCAAACAUGAGAGGCAGAAGGUCUUAUACUGUGGAGAACGGUGGAGAACUGUGGAACAGUUCACAGACAGUGAAACACCAACUAUGGACUGUCCAAAGGAGCACAAUGGGUGAAUUUUGAUCUUCUUUUACCCAGCAAGACAGCACUGCCUUGAUGGAAAAUGAACCCACGACAGAAGGUGGCAUCAUGUUUUUUUAGAUUUCUUCCCUCUCUAAAGAAGCUGAUGCUGACAUGAGAUUUACAAAGAGGUACAUUUAAAGUGUAUAUUAGUUUAAUUCCCCCCUGUACUGGAUGGUACUCACACAUCAUCUUUCUGUUUUCUCCUGUAUAAGUUACAGCAAAGUGUUCCCUUCCUUCCCUGCUAUUCCCUUAUGGAUGAAGAAAUUGGUGUCACACCAAGGAAAUCCCUAAGGAUGGACCCUCCAUCAGCAUCAACAAAAGUCUAAAUUGCAUUUUACCUGUCAGCCCUGAGCUUGGAUCCUUGCUUCCCUUUAAAUCUAUUUAUAAUUUGUGAGAUAAUGGAAAUAACUCUUUCUUUUCUUUCUCCUCAAAGGGAGCAGUGAAACCUAUUUUCAAAAGACUUCUGGAAUCCUGAAAGACACUCUGAAAUGCCUAUGAGUUCACAGGUUCCUACAGAAAUGUAGAUUAUAGGACCUUAACCUCCUGUCUUCAAUAGCAGCUACAUCUGCUGCUCCAGAGCACGUUGCAAUCUUUUUAUACCCCUAAGUCCUACAGAGCCCCUCUGCCUUUGGCUGCUGGAUAUCAAGCCAAGAAAAUACACCUACAGUAGUGAAAUACCUAAAACCAGAGGCACUUUUAAGAAGUUUUACCCAAUUGUACUGAGUAGGCAAAAUCUACUCAUAACUGUCAUUGAAUGACUUUAUUUCCCCCUUAUGUGUUUUUUGCCACAGCCCUUCAAACUGAAAUUCUGGUUUUGUACAACCUUAGCUCCAAUGCCUGCAGAGAGAUACUUCUAUCUAUGUCCACCUUGAAGCACGGCAGCAAGCAUCUGCUGUAUUUCUCACCUGAUGUUUGAAAAACAGAGAUGAAGAGAGGACUGUUUACUCCCUUGAAGAAUAAACAGGUUUUUGCAGAUGAAUUCUUUUGCCCAAGGAGACUGUAAGAACUCAAUGUUUGCUAUCCUACCUUUUCAGCACCAUUGGCUGGUGCUGUCACCCUCAGCAGCCUGGACUGACCCCCUGCAAGCAGUGAGUGCUGGUGGCAGUGGCAGUAUCUUACAGAGCUGCUCAUCCUGGAGUGCAUUGCUGCAAAUAGGAUUCUAUGAUUCUAUGAUUCUAUGAAAUCCAGCUGCCUGGAGGCUGGAAGAUAAAAGGCAGAAGGUCAGGAGGCAUGCAAAGCUGAAGGGAGGGGGGGAAAUGUUCCUCACAGUGCACAGGGAAAACCCCUCUGCACAACUGAUUUCUAACGUGUUGGCACAGCAAGAGGACACCCCAUCUGAAGGGCCUGUGUGAAAGACCAUCCCCCACUCUUCCCCACACAAUCGGUUGGUUUGUGCCUGCAGCUACUCAGUGCUUGAAUGAAGACAAGAAUCUCCCCUCUAGUACCUGCGUGAAAAGACCAAGCCCAAGGAAUCUCCCUACACCCAGGAAGUACCCAGGCUCCCUUAUCACAUCCAGUGGAGAGGUAGGAUGGGGGAAAGUAAGCUGGGACCCCCACUCCCUACUGCCCAGGGAUGAAGGACACACCAGCAGCAUGGUGCACUGACGGGUGACACAGCAAUAAGCAUGGGCAAUUACAUGGUCAAGGAGAGGCCAUGGGGUAAGUGUGGUUUCCCUUGUGCUGCAGAGCCCUGAACCCUCUCAGACCGUGUGGAGGUCAGGCCAAGGACAGAAAACAUGAGUCAGUCAUGCUGAGACCUAAGCCCAUGGCUCCAGGGAAAGCAGGAACUUCCUAACCUGAGACAUCUUCAGGAAGAGAUUCUGAGUUCAUCAGAGAGACUGUGCUAUCUCCUAGCCAGAAAGAAAAAAACCAACAGCCCUAAAAAUAACUGAAUUAUAAAGGCCAGUGACAGAGGUCAAGCUAUUGAUGCUCAGAAGAUAAAGCAGCUGGUUUCUACCAUUGUCUGAGUGUUACAGAGUCAAUAAAGGGCU